GAUGAACGCUGGCGGCGUGCCUAAUACAUGCAAGUCGAGCGAACAGACGAGGAGCUUGCUCCUCUGACGUUAGCGGCGGACGGGUGAGUAACACGUGGAUAACCUACCUAUAAGACUGGGAUAACUUCGGGAAACCGGAGCUAAUACCGGAUAAUAUAUUGAACCGCAUGGUUCAAUAGUGAAAGACGGUUUUGCUGUCACUUAUAGAUGGAUCCGCGCCGCAUUAGCUAGUUGGUAAGGUAACGGCUUACCAAGGCAACGAUGCGUAGCCGACCUGAGAGGGUGAUCGGCCACAAUGGAACUGAGACAAGGUCCAGACUCCUACGGGAGGCAGCAGUAGGGAAUCUUCCGCAAUGGGCGAAAGCCUGACGGAGCAACGCCGCGUGAGUGAUGAAGGUCUUCGGAUCGUAAAACUCUGUUAUUAGGGAAGAACAAAUGUGUAAGUAACUAUGCACGUCUUGACGGUACCUAAUCAGAAAGCCACGGCUAACUACGUG
rnacentral:rRNA from 1 species